UGGGGAAUAUUGCACAAUGGGCGCAAGCCUGAUGCAGCCAUGCCGCGUGUGUGAAGAAGGCCUUCGGGUUGUAAAGCACUUUCAGCGAGGAGGAAGGUGGUGAACUUAAUACGUUCAUCAAUUGACGUUACUCGCAGAAGAAGCACCGGCUAACUCCGUGCCAGCAGCCGCGGUAAUACGGAGGGUGCAAGCGUUAAUCGGAAUUACUGGGCGUAAAGCGCACGCAGGCGGUUUGUUAAGUCAGAUGUGAAAUCCCCGGGCUCAACCUGGGAACUGCAUUUGAAACUGGCAAGCUAGAGUCUCGUAGAGGGGGGUAGAAUUCCAGGUGUAGCGGUGAAAUGCGUAGAGAUCUGGAGGAAUACCGGUGGCGAAGGCGGCCCCCUGGACGAAGACUGACGCUCAGGUGCGAAAGCGUGGGGAGCAAAACAGGAUUAGAUACCCUGGUAGUCCACGCUGUAAAACGAUGUCGAUUUUGGAGGUUGUGCCCUUGAGGCGUGGCUUCCGGAGCUAACGCGUUAAAUUGACCGCCUGGGGAGUACGGCCGCAAGGUUAAAACUC
rnacentral:rRNA from 1 species